GGCCCCGCACAAGCGGUGGAGUAUGUGGUUUAAUUCGAUGCAACGCGAAGAACCUUACCAGGGUUUGACAUCCUGCGAAUCUCUUGGAAACGAGAGAGUGCCUUCGGGAGCGCAGUGACAGGUGGUGCAUGGCUGUCGUCAGCUCGUGUCGUGAGAUGUUGGGUUAAGUCCCGCAACGAGCGCAACCCACGUCUUUAGUUGCCAGCAUUUAGUUGGGCACUCUAGAGAGACCGCCGGUGAUAAACCGGAGGAAGGUGUGGAUGACGUCAAGUCAUCAUGCCCCUUACAUCCUGGGCUACACACGUACUACAAUGCUACGGACAAAGGGCAGCAAGUUCGCGAGGACAAGCAAAUCCCAUAAACCGUGGCUCAGUUCAGAUCGUAGGCUGCAACUCGACUCCAUGAAGCUGGAGUU
rnacentral:rRNA from 1 species